GGGGGGGUGAUGAUAUUAUUUAUCUUAUUUGUUGAUUAUAGUAAACUAAGUAAAGCCAUACCAUUCAGAGCUAUUCUGGCAAGAGGUAUUUGUCUUUUCUGUAGUUGCCAGUUUUCACUUUCUGUUCCAGCUUCUGGUGAAGGUAGGACUUUAAGAAACACUACAGUAAGUAAAUGUGUGCAUGUGUUGGCCUAGUGUGGUUAAUGUCUGAGGCCAAAGCUGUUGCUGUUGCUAUGUCUUUUCUAUAUAAAUCAUGGCACACAAGUGUUCUACUUCUCAGAGAAUAUAUGUUCUUUUAUUUCUAUUACAGGAGCUGGUCUGAGAUGGGAAAGUUUAAGGAAAUGUUCUUUUAUAUUCUCCCAAAUUGUAUAUUAUCCAAUUUCUUGAUAUUGAGUAUUUUUUCUUGCAGGGUUCCUGUAGUGGCUAUGGUAACACUACAUGUUUUUGCUCCUCUAUGUUAUGUAUGUCUCCAUCUUCUCACUCGGAGCACAAAGCGAAUCUGAGCAGAUCUAGAUCCCAAAUCCAGUUCUUGCAUUCCCCUCUAUUUUUUCCAUUUCAGGUAGCUUCUUUGCUUGAUUAUGUAUUUCUUUCUACAUUUUAUGCCUGCUGGAUUAUAGAUUCAUUUCAGGUUCAAGAGAUUCUGCCUGAAGUAUAAAGGUUACAAGUCUAUUGGUGCUAGAAACAUUGUAUGAUAGAUUUUUGUUUUAGCUAUAAGGUUGUUGGUAUUUUCAAUUUUGAAUCGGAAUAUGCAAUGAUGAUGUAUACUUGAUAUUUGGUUCAUUUGUAUAAUAAUGUAUGAAUUUUUUGGAUG
rnacentral:lncRNA from 1 species